rnacentral:sRNA from 1 species
UCCUAGCCCCGAUUGAAGUGAAAAUCCUUUUUUGAAAAAAAAGAUUGUAGCGGAAAGCGGGAAAUAGC